UUGAGCUAUCGAGUGACGAUUGACCGAGGGGACUUCCAUCAUGUAGUUGGAUAUAAAUAAGCUAGAUGAGUCAAUUUAUAGAUCUAAGAUGUGAACUAAAUUCAGAAAGAAAAAAGAAUUCUACCCAUAGCAUCUAUUUUGCUCUACUUAGCCUUAUCCCCCCUCUAGAGAUAUUAUAACGAUAGAUUCUAUAGAAACCGGAGAUACUAUUUGAUGAAAUAUCUAG
rnacentral:lncRNA from 1 species